ensembl:snRNA U6 U6 spliceosomal RNA
AUGCUGACUUCAGCGGCACAAAUACUAAAGUUGGAACUGUAUAGAGAGGACUGGCAAGACCCCUAUUCAAAGAUGUCAUGCAAAUUCCURGGCAUUGCAUACUCAAU